GACGAACGCUGGCGGCGUGCCUAAUACAUGCAAGUCGAGCGAAUUUACGAGAGCUUGCUCUCGUAAAUUAGCGGCGGACGGGUGAGUAACACGUGGGCAACCUGCCUAUAAGACUGGGAUAACUUCGGGAAACCGGAGCUAAUACCGGAUAAUUCACAUCUACUCAUGUAGAUGUGCUGAAAGACGGUUUACGCUGUCACUUAUAGAUGGGCCCGCGGCGCAUUAGCUAGUUGGUGAGGUAACGGCUCACCAAGGCCACGAUGCGUAGCCGACCUGAGAGGGUGAUCGGCCACACUGGGACUGAGACACGGCCCAGACUCCUACGGGAGGCAGCAGUAGGGAAUCUUGCGCAAUGGGCGAAAGCCUGACGCAGCGACGCCGCGUGAGGGAUGACGG
rnacentral:rRNA from 1 species